UACGUAGGGGGCAAGCGUUGUCCGGAAUCAUUGGGCGUAAAGAGCGUGUAGGCGGCUUGGUAAGUCCGCUGUGAAAGUCCAGGGCUCAACCCUGGAAAGCCGGUGGAAACUGUCAAGCUUGAGUCCGGAAGAGGCGAGUGGAAUUCCUGGUGUAGCGGUGAAAUGCGCAGAUAUCAGGAGGAACACCAAUGGCGACGGCAGCUCGCUGGGACGGUACUGACGCUGAGACGCGAAAGCGUGGGGAGCAAACAGG
rnacentral:rRNA from 1 species